rnacentral:rRNA from 1 species
UGGGGAAUUUUGGACAAUGGGGGCAACCCUGAUCCAGCCAUGCCGCGUGCGGGAAGAAGGCCUUCGGGUUGUAAACCGCUUUUGGUCGGGAAGAAAAGAUGACGCUUAAUACGUGUUGUUCUUGACGGUACCGGCAGAAUAAGCACCGGCUAACUACGUGCCAGCAGCCGCGGUAAUACGUAGGGUGCGAGCGUUAAUCGGAAUUACUGGGCGUAAAGCGUGCGCAGGCGGUGAGUUAAGUCUGAUGUGAAAGCCCCGGGCUCAACCUGGGAAUGGCAUUGGAAACUGGCUCGCUAGAGUGUGGCAGAGGGGGGUGGAAUUCCGCGUGUAGCAGUGAAAUGCGUAGAGAUGCGGAGGAACACCGAUGGCGAAGGCAGCCCCCUGGGCCAACACUGACGCUCAGGCACGAAAGCGUGGGGAGCAAACA